rnacentral:rRNA from 1 species
AACGAACGCUGGCGGCAGGCCUAACACAUGCAAGUCGAACGCGCGUAGCAAUACGCGAGUGGCGCACGGGUGAGUAACACGUGGGAAUCAACCCAGAGGUUCGGAAUAACCGCGGGAAACUGCGGCUAAUACCGGAUAUCCCCUACGGGGGAAAGAUUUAUCGCCUUUGGACGAGCCCGCGUCCGAUUAGCUAGUUGGUGAGGUAACGGCUCACCAAGGCUCCGAUCGGUAGCUGGUCUGAGAGGACGACCAGCCACACUGGAACUGAGACACGGUCCAGACUCCUACGGGAGGCAGCAGUGGGGAAUAUUGGGCAAUGGAGGCAACUCUGACCCAGCCAUGCCGCGUGGGUGACGAAGGUCUUCGGAUUGUAAAGCCCUUUCGGCGGGAACGAUGAUGACGGUACCCGCAGAAGAAGCCCCGGCUAACUUCGUGCCAGCCGCCGCCGUAAAAC